UGGGGAUAUUGUGGUAAAUAAGAGAUAACUACUCUUAAAAAUCUUAGAGGCUAUAAAAGUGCUAUGGUUAAGAAAAGAGAGAACGUGAGAUAAAGAAUUACAAGGUUAGAAUUUCUUUAGAAUGCAUGAGGGAGCUAGCUAUGGGAAAAUCUUGGGGGGAAGAAAUCAUUCCUUUCCAAGCAGAAGGACUAGCUAGUGGAAGGACUCUAAAAUGAGAAUGAUCUUUGCAAGACUGAUGAAGAGAAAGAUGGCAGAUGUGGCUAAAACAUGAGCUACUGUAUUGUGUAUUUCUUACAGCAUGUCCAUAGAGAUUCUGUAAUGGCCCCAUAUAGCUUGAUUCAACCAUUUUCCAUUUCAAGAAAUACAUUCCUUAUGCGAAAUACUGUAAUUAUGCCUUAACUGCCAAAUUGUUCUGUUCCCCAGAACUUUGCCAAUGGUUCGACAAUUCCUGUUUCUGCACACACUUUUAAACACUAGUGUUCUUGCAUUGCUGUGUAACUCCCUGAGACCGGAUAAUUUAUAGAGAAAAGAGGU
rnacentral:lncRNA from 10 species